rnacentral:rRNA from 1 species
GUCUACAGCCAUGCUACCCUGAAUGUGCCCGAUCUUGUCUGAUCUCGGAAGCUAAGCAGGGUCGGGCCGGUUAGUACUUGAAUGGGAAACCACCUGGGAAUACCAGGUGCUGUAGGUG